rnacentral:ribozyme from 1 species
AGAGGUUGCAAGUUAGAGGCCACAGCAGAAGCGCUUAUGGCGUGGCCUGUCAGAUCCUGAUGAAUCUGCAAAUUCUGCU